CUGCAUGGCUGUCGUCAGCUCGUGUCGUGAGAUGUCGGUUAAGUCCGCUAACGAGCGCAACCCUCGCUGUGUGUUACAAGUGUCACACGGAACUGCCGGUCAUAAACCGGAGGAAGGUGGGGAUGACGUCAAGUCAGCAUGGCCUUUAUAUCCUGGGCUACACACACGCUACAAUGGGAAGGGACAAUAGGUUGCGAAGCCGCGAGGCGGAGCCAAUCCAGCAAAACUUCCCUCAGUUCAGAUUGCAGGCUGCAACCCGCCUGCAUGAAGUUGGAGUCGCUAGUAAACGCAGGUCAGCCAUACUGCGUUGAAUACGUUCCCGGGGCUU
rnacentral:rRNA from 1 species